ACGACCUUACUUGAACAGGAUCUGUUCUAUAGGUUCGUACCUCUGUUUCCUGGAGUUCGAAGGAGACAGGAUCUCAAGUCUGGCGGAUGAAUCGUGACCGUGUGAUCAGAGCGUGAUUAAUGGCAGAAGCGGUUCUCGAACCGUUGAUGCUGUAGAGGAUCGUUCUCAGUUGGGUUUGAUCCUGACUGGGGGUGGUCACCCGGUUAUCUGACAGACC
rnacentral:snoRNA from 8 species